rnacentral:lncRNA from 1 species
UGAGAUGGUGCUGACUGCUGAAAUAAACUACUCAAGAGCUAUAAGAAAAAUGAGAACUCAAGGCUAUGUCAUAACAAGUAUUCAAAAUGAUUUUCAUAUUCAGGAGAUUUAAGGUGUUAAAACGAUACCGAUCUUGUGAACUUUUCCCAAGUCUCUACAAACCAACCUCAAAUUAUUCUAUAGCCUAAAACUUUCAACAAAAAUGCAAUUUUUUUUAGAAAGAAAACAAAAACAAAACAAAACAAAGAACAAAAACAAAGAAAAUAAAGUAUUCCCUCCCCCACACUUAAAAU